rnacentral:rRNA from 1 species
UCGUGGUUCAGGAUGAUCGCUAGCGACAGGCUUAGCACAUGCUAGUCAGGGGCUGCGGGGAGGUAGCAAUACUUCCGCUGUCGACCGGCGCACGGGUGAGUCACAGGUAUGGAACCUGCCGGUAGCAGUGGGCUACACGGAAGAAAUUCGGUGUCAUCACGCGUAAUAACUCCGUGAGGCAUCUCAUGCAGUUUGAAGGGUAACGCCCGGCACGGAUGGCCAUGCGGCGCAUUAGCUAGUUGGCGUGGUAUUGGCUCAUCAAGGCGGUGAUGCGUAGGGGUUAUGAGAGUCAGGUCCCCCACAGUGAUAGUGAGACACGGCCCAGACUCUUACGCGAGGCAGCAGUUCGGAAUAUUGGUCACUGGGCGCGAUCUUGCACCAUGCAAGUAGCCUGAGGGAAGCCGGUCCUAUGGAUUGUAAACGUCUUUUGUCGGGGAGCAACAGAUGCCCAGUGUGGCGUUCCGAGAGUACCCGACGAAAAAGCCUCGGCUAACUCCGUGCCAGCAGCCGCGGUAAUACGGAGGAUGCGAGCGUUUUCCGGAUUUAUUGGGUUUAAAGGGUGCGCAGGCGGAAGAUCAAUUCAGCGGUAAAAUCGAGAGGCUCAACCUGUGAGAGCCGUUGAAACUGGCUUUCUUGAGUGCCCGAGAGGUAAGCGGAAUUCGUGGUGUAGCGGUGAAAUGCAUAGAUAUUAGGCAGAACUCCGGUGGCGGAGGCAGCAUACCGGCGCUCAACUGACGCUCAGGCUCGAAAGCGUGGGUAUCGAACAGGAUUAGAUACCCUGGUAGUCCACACAGUAAACGA